rnacentral:rRNA from 1 species
CCUACGGGUGGCAGCAGUGAGGAAUAUUGGUCAAUGGACGCGAGCCUGAACCAGCCAAGUAGCGUGCAGGAUGACUGCCCUACGGGUUGUAAACUUCUUUUAUAAAGGAAUAAAGUGAGGCACGUGUACCUUUCUGUAUGUACUUUAUGAAUAAGGAUCGGCUAACUCCGUGCCAGCAGCCGCGGUAAUACGGAGGAUCCGAGCGUUAUCCGGAUUUAUUGGGUUUAAAGGGAGCGUAGAUGGGUUGUUAAGUCAGUGGUGAAAGUUUGCGGCUCAACCGUAAAAUUGCAAUUGAUACUGGCAGUCGUGAGUACAGUUGAGGUAGGCGGAAUGCGUGGUGUAGCGGUGAAAUGCUUAGAUAUCACGAAGAACUCCGAUUGCGAAGGCAGCUUACUAAGCUGCAACUGACAUUGAUGCUCGAAAGUGUGGGUAGCAAACAGGAUUAGAUACCCGGGUAGUC